rnacentral:rRNA from 1 species
GAUGAACGCUGGCGGCGUGCCUAAUACAUGCAAGUCGAGCGAACGGACGAGAAGCUUGCUUCUCUGAUGUUAGCGGCGGACGGGUGAGUAACACGUGGAUAACCUACCUAUAAGACUGGGAUAACUUCGGGAAACCGGAGCUAAUACCGGAUGAUAUUUUGAACCGCAUGGUUCAAAAGUGAAAGACGGUCUUGCUGUCACUUAUAGAUGGAUCCGCGCUGCAUUAGCUAGUUGGUAAGGUAACGGCUUACCAAGGCAACGAUGCAUAGCCGACCUGAGAGGGUGAUCGGCCACACUGGAACGGAGACACGGUCCAGACUCCUACGGGAGGCAGCAGUAGGGAAUCUUCCGCAAUGGGCGAAAGCCUGACGGAGCAACGCCGCGUGAGUGAUGAAGGUCUUCGGAUCGUAAAACUCUGUUAUUAGGGAAGAACAGAUGUGUAAGUAACUGUGCACAUCUUGACGGUACCGAAUCAGAAAGCCACGGCUAACUACGUG